UACGAAGGGGGCUAGCGUUGCUCGGAAUCACUGGGCGUAAAGCGCGCGCAGGCGGCCCUUUAAGUCCGUCGGUCAAAUGCCGGGGCUCAACCCCGAUGCAUGCCGAGGAUACUGGAGGGCUGGAGACACGUAGAGGCAAGCGGAAUUCCGGGUGUAGCGGUGGAAUGCGUAGAGAUCCGGAAGAACACCGGAGGCGAAGGCGGCUUGCUGGGCGUGAUCUGACGCUGAGGCGCGAAAGCGUGGGGAGCGAACAGG
rnacentral:rRNA from 1 species